rnacentral:rRNA from 1 species
AUGAUCUUGAAUUUGAAACCCAGAUAUCAGAUCUGUCAGCAGGAAGAACAAAACGAAGAAGAAAGAAACCUGGUGAUAAAAGUGCUUGUGGUCAUGUCAAAGGUACCUAAAACUGCACAUCAUCCUCAGCAUCAAGAAUACAGAGAGAUUGCAGAUAGAAGUCACAACAACAAGGUGCUGAAAAAUUUGUAUCAAGGCAACAAACAUAUGCAGACACUUAUAAAAUCAUUCAAUGGAAUUUCUGAGGAUGCACUUUUGGGACAAAACUUUGCUCAACAACAGGACCUACACCCCACUCCUAGACAAAAAGAAUCAAUUCAACAGGAAUCAGAUUUGCUCCAUUUAGAAAACCAAAGUUUGCAUACGAGUAAUGACAUGCUAGUACCACAAGGAGCGGCACCGUCUUACACAGAACUACUGCAACAAAUGACAGUCAUGAGUCAUCUACAAAGCGACAACAUGGAAAUACCUAUAAGAAGUUUCACAUCAUUCUUGACUGCGGGCAUAAAUUCCGAGUAUCAGCAUCAAGCAGCGGGACCAAGUGCAAGCAGCAAUUGGCAACAACUUAAUGAUUGGGGACAAUAUUCUGUACCUUUAGAUGAAGAUCAUGAAGAUGAUGAUGAAGGUAACAAUGAAGAUGAAGCAAAUCACAGUGAGACUGAAUCUGGUGGUGAGCAUGAAGAUGCCGAUGAAGGUAACAAUGAAGAUGAAGCAAAUCACAGUGAGACUGAAUCUGAUGGUGAGCAUGAAUUUGACUGCAAUAGUGAUGAGAAUCGAAGUUAUCCAGAUAAAGCUUACACAGAAUGCACUAGUGAUCAAAAUGAAACUGAUGCGGAGGAAGAUUUCCUAGAACAAAAUACGUUAUCCUAUGAUCAGUUGUUGGUGGAAUACUAG